rnacentral:miRNA from 1 species
UACAGUGAUCAGGUUAUGAUGG